rnacentral:rRNA from 1 species
UGGAGGAGGGUGGGGAUGACGUCAAAUCAUCAUGCCCCUUAUGACUUGGGCUACACACGUGCUACAAUGGCGUAAACAAAGAGAAGCGAGACCGUGAGGUGGAGCAAAUCUCAAAAAUAACGUCUCAGUUCGGACUGUAGUCUGCAACUCGACUACACGAAGCUGGAAUCGCUAGUAAUCGCGGAUCAGAAUGCUGCGGUGAAUACGUUCCCGGGUCUUGUACACACCGCCCGUCACACCAUGGGAGUCUGGAACGCCCGAAGUCAGUGACCCAACCGCAAGGAAGGAGCUGCCGAAGGCAGGUUCGAUAACUGGGGUGAAGUCGUA